GGACAGUAGAGGUGAAGAGAGGGCAGUAGAGGACAGUAGAGGACAGUAGAGGUGAAGAGAGGACAGUAGAGGUGAAGAGAGGACAGUAGAGGACAGUAGAGGACAGUAUAGGACAGUAGAGGUGAAGAGAGGACAGUAGAGGACAGUAGAGGUGAAGAGAGGACAGUAGAGGACAGUAGAGGUGAAGAGAGGACAGUAGAG